rnacentral:rRNA from 2 species
UACCGGCGGCUCGAGUGGUGGCCGAUAUUAUUGAGUCUAAAGGGUCCGUAGCCGGCUUUGCAAGUCUCUCGGGAAAUCCAGCGGCUUAACCGUUGGUCGUCCGGGGGGUACUACAUUGCUUGGGACUGGGAGAGGUAGGAGGUACUCAGGGGGUAGGAGUGAAAUCCUGUAAUCCUUUGGGGACCACCGGUGGCGAAGGCGUCCUACCAGAACAGGUCCGACGGUGAGGGACGAAAGCUAGGGGCACGAACCGG